UGAGGAAUAUUGGUCAAUGGGCGCAAGCCUGAACCAGCCAUCCCGCGUGAAGGAAGAAUGCGCUAUGCGUUGUAAACUUCUUUUCCAGGGGAAUAAAAUUUCGUACGUGUACGGGACUGAAGGUACCUUGGGAAUAAGCAUCGGCUAACUCCGUGCCAGCAGCCGCGGUAAUACGGAGGAUGCGAGCGUUAUCCGGAUUUAUUGGGUUUAAAGGGUGCGUAGGCGGAAAAAUAAGUCAGUGGUGAAAACCUUCAGCUUAACUGGAGACUUGCCAUUGAUACUGUUAUUCUUGAGUAUAGUUAAGGUAGGCGGAAUGUGUAAUGUAGCGGUGAAAUGCUUAGAUAUCACACAGAACACCAAUUGCGAAGGCAGCUUACUAUGCCGUUACUGACGCUGAUGCACGAAAGCGUGGGGAUCAAACA
rnacentral:rRNA from 1 species